rnacentral:rRNA from 1 species
UGGCGAACGGGUGAGUAACACGUGAGUAACCUGCCCUUAACUCUGGGAUAAGCCUGGGAAACUGGGUCUAAUACCGGAUAUGACCUUCCAUCGCAUGGUGGUUGGUGGAAAGCUUUUUGUGGUUUUGGAUGGACUCGCGGCCUAUCAGCUUGUUGGUGAGGUAAUGGCUUACCAAGGCGACGACGGGUAGCCGGCCUGAGAGGGUGACCGGCCACACUGGGACUGAGACACGGCCCAGACUCCUACGGGAGGCAGCAGUGGGGAAUAUUGCACAAUGGGCGCAAGCCUGAUGCAGCGACGCCGCGUGAGGGAUGACGGCCUUCGGGUUGUAAACCUCUUUCAGUAGGGAAGAAGCGAAAGUGACGGUACCUGCAGAAGAAGCGCCGGCUAACUACGUGCCAGCAGCCGCGGUAAUACGUAGGGCGCAAGCGUUAUCCGGAAUUAUUGGGCGUAAAGAGCUCGUAGGCGGUUUGUCGCGUCUGCCGUGAAAGUCCGGGGCUCAACUCCGGAUCUGCGGUGGGUAC